GUGCGGCUCAAGAGAGAGCGUGUUUGAAGCAAAAUUAAUUUUGUUUAAUUUUAUUAAAGAACCGAGGGCGCUUCCCAGCUUUUAAGUGGCAACAGGAGGAGCCUGGCAUGUCCCUCCAUCAGAGACAGACGGGAAGAGCUCACGGACCAAAGGGAAGAGAGCAUAUGGAAUGUGUUACAUGUCUGUCGGUGAAGAAAGGAGCUUUAAAAAGUUCAGAAGGAAACUAGAUACAUUUCCAAACAAAAAAAGGUUGAAAAAUACAGGGCAUUCAGCAGCUUCCAAACCACUCAGCAGGAGAGAGAAUCUCUGGAGCUGCAGCUGGAGUGAAACCUGAUUAUAUAGACAGCAGUGGUGCAGCCAGCUAGGACAGCCAGGUACAAGUGCAGUCAGCUCUCCAGCAAAACAAGCACCAGAAGCAUGAGGUGUUUCUGCUUUUGGUGUGCCACAGGGUACGUAUUUUUACACUUCUGAAUUGAGUCCAGCCAGGAUCUGUCAAAGUCAGGGCUGCUUGCAGCACAGAGGCAAAUGAGUAUGCCAAGCAACUCAAGAAGGCACUGUAAGUAGCAGAUGGCAUUUUCAGAGUAUUGACACAAUUUAUGAACUCCCUGGACAGGUGUUUGCACUCCCUUGAGCCCAGGAAAGGGACACAGAGCACUUGCAGCAAUGGAAGCUGUGUGAUGGUGUCUGUGUGACUCCUGGGCUCAAUACCCCACCACCAUUAGGAGAACUGUCCUGAAAAAGAAAGGCUGGGUCCGGGUCCAUGGGUAACUUUCACCUCCUCAUCCUCUGAACUGGUUUCUCCAGAAGUAGGUUGUUCUGGGGAGUAAUCUGGGAUAAAAAUCCAAGACAGUCUGUGGCCCUUGGCUCCAUAGAUAAACUGCAGCUUAGUAGUAGGAACCAGAAGUACUCUUUACAGCAGAGUGGGAUGAGUCCUCAGUACCCUUCUCUUCCUAAGUACAACCUGAGCACAUCCAGAAAUACAUUCCUAUCAGACUCUUCAACUGCCCUGCAAGCAGGCAAAUUUUUCUAAGCUUCUUCCCUACUCCCAGCAACUCCUGUUGCCCUUCCAUUUAUUUUAUCAAUAGAAGAUCUCACUUUCUGGUCACUUAGGACACACAUUAUUUGCAUGGCAGUGAAAAAACAAAAAUGUGUUUAACCUGGAUUUUAGCCCAAAUUCAGGAGCCAUCAGGUUAGGAUAGGCUUACCUGUUCUGAAAGGGCUGAGGUCCAAAUCCUGAGUCUAUCACACAAGGAUGACCUAUUUCUACCAGGAGAUCCCCUACAUCUUAAAGAAUUUUAAAUCAAGAUACAGCAUCUUGACUUCAGACACAACACUGACCACAGUUUAAGUCAAAUACUCUUGGCUUUGUCUCAACAGUGACAAAUUCCAGCCUAAAUGGUAGCUUGCAAAAACCCUCCAUGAUCCCAUCCCUAUACCCAGCAGCAGUGAUUCAUCAUUCGCAGUGAUAAAGGACAGUACAGGCACACAGGUACUUUUUUUCUUUUUUUUUAUUGCUGUUAAUUCAAGGAAAAAGGUUGCAUAAAAUCCAAUCUCUUCUAGAAAUAUAAGUGACCUUUCCAGUACAUUUCAAAUAUCAAAGUAUAUGGUAAACAUACAAAUAAAGAGAAGGUAACAUACCUCCUAUUUACA
ensembl:lncRNA